rnacentral:rRNA from 1 species
AAAACUUUCAACAACGGAUCUCUUGGUUCUGGCAUCGAUGAAGAACGCAGCGAAAUGCGAUAAGUAAUGUGAAUUGCAAAAUUCAGUGAAUCAUCCAAUCUUUGAACGCAUAUUGCGCCCUUUGGCAUUCCGAAGGGCAUACCUGUUCGAGCGUCAUUA